CCUACGGGAGGCAGCAGUGAGGAAUAUUGGUCAAUGGGCGGGAGCCUGAACCAGCCAAGUCGCGUGAGGGACGACGGUCCUAUGGAUUGUAAACCUCUUUUGUCGGGGAACAAAGGCGCCCACGGGUGGGCGGCUGAGUGUACCCGAAGAAAAAGCAUCGGCUAACUCCGUGCCAGCAGCCGCGGUAAUACGGAGGAUGCGAGCGUUAUCCGGAUUUAUUGGGUUUAAAGGGUGCGUAGGCGGACAGUCAAGUCAGCGGUAAAAUUGCGGUGCUCAACGCCGUACAGCCGUUGAAACUGGCUGUCUUGAGUGGGCGAGAAGUAUGCGGAAUGCGUGGUGUAGCGGUGAAAUGCAUAGAUAUCACGCAGAACUCCGAUUGCGAAGGCAGCAUACCGGCGCCCGACUGACGCUGAGGCACGAAAGCGUGGGUAUCGAACAGGAUUAGAUACCCCAGUAGUC
rnacentral:rRNA from 1 species